rnacentral:rRNA from 1 species
GAUGAACGCUGGCGGCGUGCCUAAUACAUGCAAGUCGAGCGAACGGACGAGAAGCUUGCUUCUCUGAUGUUAGCGGCGGACGGGUGAGUAACACGUGGAUAACCUACCUAUAAGACUGGGAUAACUUCGGGAAACCGGAGCUAAUACCGGAUAAUAUUUUGAACCGCAUGGUUCAAAAGUGAAAGACGGUCUUGCUGUCACUUAUAGAUGGAUCCGCGCUGCAUUAGCUAGUUGGUAAGGUAACGGCUUACCAAGGCAACGAUGCAUAGCCGACCUGAGAGGGUGAUCGGCCACACUGGAACUGAGACACGGUCCAGACCCCUACGGGAGGCAGCAGUAGGGAAUCUUCCGCAAUGGGCGAAAGCCUGACGGAGCAACGCCGCGUGAGGGAUGAAGGUCUUCGGAUCGUAAAACUCUGUUAUUAGGGAAGAACAUAUGUGUAAGUAACUGUGCACAUCUUGACGGUACCUAAUCAGGAAGCCACGGCUAACUACGUG